GCGCUGAGUUCAGCCUACCAAAGCAAACCUUUCAAAACUGCUAGUCUCUCCCCGAGGCGACACGCUCAAUGUUGCGGAGAGGCCCUCUUUUCAGAGGGUAAUCCGCAGCCGGCCCCCUAAAGGCUGGUUCAGAGACUCAAUGAGUGUGGGUUUGGCCUUUUGGCCAGGCUUAAGAUAGAGCCCGUCCCUGUAGGCAACUGCGGGGGAUGAACGGAACCUGCGGAAGGAUCAUUAAAGAAUCGGUGACCCUCGCGGUCCCAUUCUCACCCUUUGUAUACCAAACUUCAGUUGCUUUGGCUGGCCUUCGCGGGCCGGCCAGAGGACUCAAACCCUUGAAUCUUUGCUGUCUGAGUACUAUAUAAUAGUUAAAACUUUCAACAACGGAUCUCUUGGUUCUGGCAUCGAUGAAGAACGCAGCGAAAUGCGAUAAGUAAUGUGAAUUGCAGAAUUCAGUGAAUCAUCGAAUCUUUGAACGCACAUUGCGCCCUCUGGUAUUCCGGGGGGCAUGCCUGUUCGAGCGUCAUUACAACCCUCAAGCUCAGCUUGGUAUUGGGCUCGCCCUUCAUGGGCCUGCCUUAAAAUCAGUGGCGGCUCCGUCCAGUCUCAAGCGCAGUAAUACUCGCCGCUUGUUAGGCUUGGUCGGCGGUUUGCUAACAACCCCCAAUUUUACAAGGUUGACCUCGGAUCAGGUAGGGAUACCCGCUGAACUUAAGCAUAUCAUAGGGGCGGGGGGAAAA
rnacentral:rRNA from 1 species